ensembl:lncRNA
GCUGACUUUGCUGUUCGCUGUCAUGUGUGAGGCAGCUGAACUCACUUUCAGACACAAAAUCUGUGAGGAGCUGCGGCAGGAAAUUACCUUCCACUGCCAGAAGGGAAAUCAUUUGAGGUUUUUGUACCUGUUCUUUUUUUUUUUUUUAAUGACAAAACAGCUUGAUUCAGAGCUAUCAGAGAUAGUUUGGGAGUGGAGGUCUCUCAUGUCCAUUACAAGCACAACAGGAAGUGUGAAUUAUGCAUGAGAGACUGAGUGUGUGUCAUAUAAACAGUGUGUGUUUUGAGUCCUCCUGAGACUUGCGGGGCAGCAACAGUUCAUGGAGGCACGAGGGCAGCAGGCCUCAGCGCUAAGCAGCCGUGGAAUGUACCAGGAUCAGGUGUUCCUUCACCACAUGAGCCCUUCGCUGCCCCCAAGUCCUCCAUCACACCUCACCAUGGAGAAAACUCACUAAAAGAAUCAGAGGAGUCCUCAAGCUCACGAUUAGAUCCACCAGAAGCUCGUCAGGCAGGAAAAUGAGAGGAAAACAAACUAAAUGUUCACAUAGAACAGUUUAAUAUGGUUAGUCGCCACUGCUGGAGCCCAAUAAAGCGCAUGGCCCAGCCUUUAAUCUCUACCUGUAUCUAUGAGCCUUGAGGCAUUCAUGACUGUGCACCAGGAACACAAAGAAAACAAAAGCUGACGUUUCCAAUGUUCUACAUGUCUCCCCUUUGCCAAACUAGUCAGAACAGACGGCUGCCAAGUCUGCGCCUGGUUCUGCUCGAGGUUUCUUUUUGUUAGAGGGGGAUUUUUCGUUGCCAAGUGCUUGCUCAGUGGGAAAACUGUUGGGUUUCUCCCUUGAGAUGAUCACUUUAAGAAUGAAACUGAACUGAAAAAAUGUCAGUUAUUUCAACUUCAUCUUGAAACACUGACUGUCCACAUCCCACCCACUGAAAUAAUCAGUGUUAUUCACCGUACCUGUCAGUGACUUUAAUCUUGUGUAUAUUCCGUCUCUGCACACAUCUUCUCUGGAGCUGCAUGAAUCCAAGUCGCUGUUCUGCACUGCAUCAGCUCCAUCCUGAUCUGAGGAGAGAUAAGAAACUCGCCCCUGAGAGCCAGGCCUCGAGCCCAAAACACACAUAUGAACGACCUUUCAGGCAUCAUGAGACACCGGCAGGAAUGUGGACAGAAAUGUGGGAAAAGCUGCUUUUCACUCCACCGUAAUAAUUAUCAGAGAAGAGCAGCCAACACCUUGCUUCUCUCAGAUAUCCAGAGCCAGCAUCUGGUUUCCUGCCCCGCUGCCUCCCACACACAUCGCUCAUUAGCUCAUUACAGACAAAGCCUGCUGUCCAAAGACCCCAUUAGCCAUCUAACCGCAUUAAAGCCAAAGAAGUAAUUUUUCAUGAUGACAUUCGUAAUCUUGUAACAGCGAGAUUUCUCAGCGUUGUGCAGCUCCUGUGUCUGUGGAAGGCCUCGGUCUGUGCAAAGAAUCACCAAUGAUGGAUGAUGAACUUUUUGUGAUUAAUCCGCCACUAAGGUGGAAUUCUGAUGUUAAGCAGUGUACAAACUGCCUGUUAGGUCCUUUACACCAGAAUAAAGCAGCUCACUGGGACAAAUUUUCCUUUUAAAUUACAGGAAAUUGCUCACAGUUGUGGUUGCAGGUAUUUUACCACAUUUUUACAGUGCUAAAAUUGUAAUUUAAUAGGUAAUUAUUGUGUAAUUGAUUACAGUAGUACAAUAAGAGUUUACUAACACUGUGUCUAAUGUUUAAAAAAGUAACUUUUAACAGUUUUAACCUUUUAUUUUUUUCAUUAUUGUUUUCAGAGAUUUUUUUCUGUUGUGUCAAAUUACAAAAACUAGUGUCAACCGUUUUUCUGAACUUUUCAUAAAAAUUUUUUUCUUUUUUGCUACCAGAAU